UACGGAGGGUGCGAGCGUUAAUCGGAAUUACUGGGCGUAAAGGGUGCGUAGGUGGUUUGAUAAGUUAUCUGUAAAAGCCCUGGGCUCAACCUGGGAAGGCCAGAUAAAACUGUUGAACUGGAGUAUGGGAGAGGGUAGUGGAAUUUCCGGCGUAGCGGUGAAAUGCGUAGAGAUCGGAAGGAACACCAGUGGCGAAGGCGGCGACCUGGCCCUGACCUGACGCUGAGGCGCGAGAGCGUGGGGAGCGAACGGG
rnacentral:rRNA from 1 species